GCCUUCGUAGUGUAACGGUAGCACAUUCGGCAUGUAUUCAUGAGGUCCAGGUUCAAAUCCUAGGGAAGGCA
rnacentral:tRNA from 1 species